GACGAACGCUGGCGGCGUGCUUAACACAUGCAAGUCGAACGAUGAAGAAAAGAAUCGAAGCUUCGGCAGAAAUUCAUUUCGGAUUAGUGGCAGACGGGUGAGUAACGCGUGAGCAACCUACCUCUUACAAAGGGAUAGCCUCGGGAAACCGGGAUUAAUACCAUAUAACAUUGCGACGAAGCAUUUCGAUGCAAUCAAAGCUACGGCGGUAAGAGAUGGGCUCGCGUCCCAUUAACCGGAUGGUGAGGUAACGGCUCACCAUAGUGACGAUGGGUAACCGGCCUGAGAGGGUGAACGGUCACACUGGAACUGAGACACGGUCCAGACUCCUACGGGAGGCAGCAGUGGGGAAUAUUGCACAAUGGAGGGAACUCUGAUGCAGCGACGCUGCGUGAGUGAUGAAGGAAUUCGUUUCGUAAAACUCUGUUCUAUGGGAAGAAAAGGACUGUACCAUAGGAGAAAGCUCCGGCUAAAUACGUG
rnacentral:rRNA from 1 species